UUUUAGCCCCGAUGGAAGUGGAAAUCCUUUUGUGCCGGGGUUCGGCACAAAAGAUUGAAACGUACAGCGGGAAAUAGC
rnacentral:sRNA from 1 species